rnacentral:lncRNA from 1 species
CCUGAGCCCACCUGGAACACCCCUGUCCUCAGUUGGGGGAGGAAGAGGAGUCAUAGAAGGGAGAGGGCUCCCCAAUCCUGAGAUCUUGGUCUUCAGUUCUUGCUUCCAAGUGGGCAAAGGUGUGAGGCAUCUGUGAACGGAGAGCAGGAUUUCAGUGCAGCGGGGCAGUUACCCCCUUGGCAGUCCUUAUAUCUGAAGGUUUCUAUCCUUUGUCUGUUUCUCUGGCACUUCGUUGGAUUAUUAGUAAUUAGCUAAUUAGUCAAGAGAAUGAACUGAGGAGGAAAGAGUUGACUGGGACACAGAUUUAGAGGGCCACAAUAACUUUCUGGUAUGUGAAAUUUGAGGCCUUUCUAAGGUUGGUAUUACCAUCAGAAUCAGGAGACACAUCUCCUGCCUCUGCCUGCUGGCACUUCUACUAGCAGAUUAACCUAGUAGAAUCUGCUCUAGCCUUAGUUUUUCAUUGAUUUUAUCAGAGAUGGCUUUAGGCUAAUAGGGCCUCCCAUCCAUUAGGAUGGAUCUAGAAAGAGGGGAGGGUAUAUCCAUGGUGGGUGGGCAUGUUGGGAGCACAGGACACACAUGGGUAGGGACAUCCAGCAUGGUCCCAUCCAGUCAACCCAUACCUUGCCUCCUCCUUCAUUGCAAGAUCCCCAGAUUGUCCUCCUUCAAGGACCAGACUUGGCUGUCCAGCCCCACUGCCUGUCCGAGCUGUGCCUUUUCCUCUUCCUGGAGUGGGGUAGGCAUUCCAUCCUCAUUGAGAUGCUGACUAAACUCCCUCCUCUCCCCUCCAGCAACCUCCAGGACCUCUUCUGGUCUUGGGCAGUGGGGAGUGGCCAGCUUCCUAUCUUUUUCAGCUGUCUUGGGCUUUCUUCAGGCUGACCAAGCUGUUCCUUGCCUGCCACUGCCUUUGUCCAGGCAGGUCCUACUGUUGGGAAUACCUGCUCCCCCAUCCUCUCCAUCCACCUUCAACCAUUUCCAAGGACCCGUGUACAGGCACCUUCUCCAAGAGCCUCCCUCAGCUCUCCUUCUGCACCCAGGCGUGAGUCCCUUGUGGCUGGAACCAUGUCUGCUUCAUCUCCCUCUGAGGGUACUGGGUCUUCAUGAAUGAGGUGAUCCCACAAGCUGAGAUGUUACAGGUAGGGCAGGGUCUUGUGAUAGAAGUACCUGAGGCCAAGACAGAAGAGCUGAAUCUUACCUUGGUUUUUCUUAUUUUCCCCAGAUACCUUUAAUUCCAUAGCUCAAACAGCCUUUAUAGGGAGUUUGGUUUUACAUCUGAGCCUGCAUAUCAUCAGUGGGUAUCAAAAUAGCUCUGAUAUUUUCUUGUUUGGUUUCUUUUUUCAGCAAAUAGGACAAGGUCAUAUCAUAGAGUUAUGUGUAUGUUCAAUAACUUUAGAGGAGAUCAUUUUAUCAGACUGUUUGAACUAGAAAUGAUUGCUAACUGUAAUUCCAAACCCUGCAAGGCACCUCUGUAAACACUGCCAGAGAUAUGAAGAAAUUUCUACAGUGCCCUGUUCUCAUAGGGCUUUCACUGCCCAUGAGGAGAGAGAAAUGAAAUUUGUGAAUCUAAAUGUUGUUCAAAAAUAACUGCAGGAUUCCACCCACUUAAGUGAGAAGUCUAAAAUAAACUUACAGAUGCAUAGAGAAGAAC